rnacentral:rRNA from 1 species
GACGAACGCUGGCGGCGUGCUUAACACAUGCAAGUCGAGCGGUAAGGCCCUUUCGGGGGUACGACGAGCGGCGAACGGGUGAGUAACACGUGGGUGACCUGCCCUCAGCUCUGGGAUAAGCCUGGGAAACCGGGUCUAAUACUGGAUAUGACUCCAUGACGCAUGUUGUGGGGUGGAAAGCCUUGUGCGGCUGAGGAUGGGCCCGCGGCCUAUCAGCUUGUUGGUGGGGUGANGGCCUACCAAGGCGACGACGGGUAGCCGGCCUGAGAGGGCGACCGGCCACACUGGGACUGAGACACGGCCCAGACUCCUACGGGAGGCAGCAGUGGGGAAUCUUGCGCAAUGGGCGAAAGCCUGACGCAGCGACGCCGCGUGAGGGAUGACGGCCUCGGUUGUAA